UACGUAGGGCGCAAGCGUUGUCCAGAAUUAUUGGGCGUAAAGAGCUCGUAGGCGGCUUGUCACGUCGGGUGUGAAAGCCCGGGGCUUAACCCCGGGUCUGCAUUCGAUACGGGCUAGCUAGAGUGUGGUAGGGGAGAUCGGAAUUCCUGGUGUAGCGGUGAAAUGCGCAGAUAUCAGGAGGAACACCGGUGGCGAAGGCGGAUCUCUGGGCCAUUACUGACGCUGAGGAGCGAAAGCGUGGGGAGCGAACAGG
rnacentral:rRNA from 1 species